rnacentral:rRNA from 1 species
GACGAACGCUGGCGGCGUGCCUAAUACAUGCAAGUUGAGCGCUGAAGGUUGGUACUUGUACCAACUGGAUGAGCAGCGAACGGGUGAGUAACGCGUGGGGAAUCUGCCUUUGAGCGGGGGACAACAUUUGGAAACGAAUGCUAAUACCGCAUAAAAACUUUAAACACAAGUUUUAAGUUUGAAAGAUGCAAUUGCAUCACCCAAAGACGAUCCCGCGUUGUAUUAGCUAGUUGGCGAGGUAAAGGCUCACCAAGGCGAGGUUACAUAGCCGACCUGAGAGGAUGAGCAGCCACAUUGGGAGUGAGACACGGCCCAAUCGCCUAGAGGAGGCGGCAGUAGUGAUUCUUCGGGCAGCGACGGAAGUCAGACCGAGCUAGGCGGCGGGAGUGUAGAAGGAUGUCGGGUCGUAGAAGUCGGUUGGUGGGGAAGAACGUUGGUGAGAGUGGAAAGCUCAUCAAGUGACGGUAACUGGACAGGAAGGAACGGCUAACUACGUG